UACGUAGGUGGCGAGCGUUGUCCGGAAUUACUGGGCGUAAAGGGAGCGUAGGUUGCGAUUUAAGUUAGAUGUGAAAGCCCGUGGCUCAACUACGGAACUGCAUUUAAAACUGGAUUGCUAGAGUACAGGAGGGGUGAGCGGAAUUCCUAGUAUAGCGGUGGAAUGCGUAGAUAUUAGGAAGAACACCGGAGGCGAAGGCGGCUCACUGGACUGCAACUGACACUGAGGCUCGAAAGCGUGGGGAGCAAACAGG
rnacentral:rRNA from 1 species